rnacentral:rRNA from 1 species
UACAGAGGUGGCAAGCGUUUGUUCGGAAUUACUGGGCGUAAAAGGGCGCGUAGGCGGCCAUCUAAGUCAGACGUGAAAUCCCCCCGGCUUAACCUGGGAACUGCGUCUGAUACUGGAAGGCUUGAGUAUGGGGAGAGGGAUGUAGAAAUUCCAGGUGUAGCGGUGAAAUGCGCAGAUAUCGGGAGGAACACCAAUGGCGAAGGCAGCUCGCUGGGACGGUACUGACGCUGAGACGCGAAAGCGUGGGGAGCAAACAGG